UCGGGACAGGAAGUUUAUGACAAAGUUAGAGAAAUGUUCCCUGAUCAUGCAUCUCACAUCACAGGGAUGCUGUUGGAGAUGAGGACGUCACAGUUGCAGCAUCUUCUCUCUGAUGACCCAGACCGACUGAAUCUGUACAUCCACUGGGCCUACCAAACCCUACAGCAGUACCAUGCCCAGUCCUGAGGACAACACAAGCACAGAUAGUCUCUUUAUGUCACAUAUACAUCAUGCUUUCAUACCUUGUAAGACAUGAAUUGAAUCUAGCACCCUUUCCUAUUCGAGGUACUAACUAUUAGUGACUCAGACUAACAUUGAAAGAUGGAACGGCAACCACUUGUUUGUACAAACUUCAAAACACCUGGCCAAAAUGGGGUUUGGUCAUGACAUGUUUCAUUAUAUUAAGCUGUGAUCUUGGAAUCAGUGUGUAGGGUAGGCAGCCUGGAGGCUGCAGCAUAUGCUGCA